CUAAAAGCAUUACCAUAUUCCCUAUUGUGCACCCCCUUUUUUCCAAGAACCCACCCUGACAGGUUUUUGGUUGUCCAAAUGACCAGAACAUCCUUGGUUCAACUGAAUGCUGCAUAAUUUGAGUCCAACUGCACUGCACCCCGAGAAAUUGGGAACCAAAUGUGACACACUUUCCGCGAUGCCCCUGAAUUCUGAGCACGGGACGGAUGACUGAUCCGGCUGUCUUGCUGUAAUAGGACGAGGUCAUGUAGUCAAAUACACAUGAAUGGCACACGUGCAUAUACAUGCAUGCAUGCAAGGGGUGCAGCAGAGCCCAAGAAAUCGCAGUCUCCCCCAUAAUCCACUUCUCCUCCAUCCUGUUCCAUUAACCUCACAGUGUACACACACGUCUGUCCUAAACCCACAUAGACCUUUUCACACACACACACACACACACACGUCUGCCAGUAUCAUAGUCUGUGUUGCCCACUGCCAUUGUAUCUGCAUGAGGCUGAGAUAAUGGCAUCUGUCGCUGCUCCUUUUGUCAGGAUUGUCCCCGGCCCCGGCUCGCUGUUGGUCCCCAUUAGCCGACUGCUGGCUGCCGGCCCGCUGGCCCCGUUGUUCCACGCUCUGCUGCCUGACCAGAAAAUACAGGAGAUGCCUGUCCUCUCCUCUAACUCCCACUUUUAUUGUCUGUUCCCAUCACUUGUCCUGUUCCUGCACAUCCAGAGUCCAUGGAUUUCUGAGGUGAAGUGGGAAAAACUGUGAAAAAAAUAAUAAAAAAUUGUGGUUAAAUAUUUUGUUUUAAAAACGUCCAUCCUAUAUUUAAUUGUUUUUUCCUGAACAAUUAAAACUACUUUUUCUUAGGUACUUUCCUUUUGGACGGUUGGAUCACAACAAAAAAGUGUCAAAAAGGUGUUUAUAAGGCUGUAAAUUCUGCUUCUUUUUUCAUUUUAUGUUUUUUUUUUUUAUCAUAGUUUCUGUUAAACUAACUUAUAGCAUAAAAUAAAUAGCAAGAAAAGGCUGAUUAAAAGUACUUAAUGAAGGUCAUAAAGACACAUAAACUCUCCCAUCUACUUAUACAUAAUUUCUAAGCAUAUUUCUGAUUUUGUCAGCCAGAACUGCUUCAUAAAUGCUGUCAGUUGUACAACAUUUUCUAAGCACCUUGUCUUUGCAGUGUAAUUGCACUCACUCUAACCCGACUGGCUCUUCCUUUAAAUAAAAAAAACUCAGUUUCUGUCACCUAUCUGAGACGUCUCACUUAGUUUCAUCACAUUCCCCUCAUCUCUCAUAAGCAUGGCUAAUAAAAUGUAAAGAUAGGAGAUAGGACAGCGCUCACUACGUUUUAUUAAGAGCAUAAUGGCAAUAUCACUGUUGUAAUGAUUCUAAGGGAUCUCAGAUGAAGGGCCAGCCAGCCUUCGGAAGUGAAUGUGACAUCACUGGCGAAAAAAAAAAAAAAAAAAGUGGUCUCGGAUCUUCAUUUCAUAUAUUGGUUAAGUUUCCUCAUUAAGAGCGGGGGACAAAGGCACGCCGUGGAGGAUAAAGGAAUGCAAUUUUUAGCCCGUUACAAUGGCAAACUACAGUUGCACAUCAAGCAGCUCCAUUUCUGCUGAUUCUUAAACUUCUCCAACAUCUUUUUUCUUCUUCUUCACAUGUGGAAAGACUCUCUGAAGUGUCUCCCCACUGUGAAGCACAAAGGCUGACAGGAGAGUGAGAGGUUGUCGGGGAAACGGCAGACAACAGCCCCAUCUACAGAUGGAAAAAAGUCUGUUUUAUUUCUUCUAUUAGAUGGAGCUUCAUUUUUUAAAUUGCUUAAUCUAAAGCAUGUUACUAGAAACUUAACCACUAUUUAGGUAGCUAACGUUGAUGUAUGCAGAAAAAAGGUCAGCUUUAAGGCAAUCCUUUCGUUUGCACUCACAUUCUUUGGUCAUUUUUCCAAAGUGUCUCAAUUUUUUCAAGAAGUUUGACGCUUUUUAGGCUUUUUUUAAGCAUAAAAUCAAGAAACAAUUUAUAUUUUAUAAAAAAUAAAUAAAUACAUAAAAAUGCAUAUCUUUUAGCAAUCAACUCCAGCUAGUAAUUUAUGCUGCACAUGUUAUUUUUUAUGAAGGAAAAAUAUGUCUUUGUGUAAAUAUGUGAUUGCUAUUUUAUUUAAAUUUUCUGCAUAUUUGAUUUAAUUGAAAAAUAUAUUUCAAAGAAAAUAAAAAAUAAAAAAAAGAAAAGAAAAGAAAAUGAAUUCAAUUCAUUUAAUCCAGAUUGUUCCAAUAAGGUUAAAAUGAAUUGCAAUGCAAGUAAAAAAAAAAAGAUUUUUGAAGAAAAAAAAAAUAGUGUUGUUGAUGUUGUGCGCCCUGCAUUUGGACAAGCAAACAGCUAGCUAAACUCCUUGCUUUUUCCAUUUUCUUCAAAGACAGAAAAUGGUAUUUAGACAUUCACACAUAUAGAAUUGAUAAACACAUCUCACUUACAGUCAUUGCUUUCCAUCCUGUGUUAGUUGAAGGAGUCAAAAAAAGCUGCAGACAUUGCGUGUAUGCAAAACAAACUGUUGCUAUGACAAAAUGGACAAUAAAGCUUGAUUCAAACUAAACUUUAUUGAAACUACAAAGUGAACAAACUUUCCUGUGGCAGAAUGAUUCGGAUGUAAUCCUGUGUUCUGAUAGGGCCGGAUAUAGGCAUGGAAAAAAUUCACAAUUAACUAGAAUAUAAAAAUGACCCAAAAAAAAGUGAAAUUGGAAAAACGGAUGUAACAAAAUAAUAGAUAAUUGAAGGGGACAAACCAGUGUCUUGCCGGUGCCUGUCCCUUGCCCGGUUAAUGCAGAAGAUGGUGUCAGGAGGACAAGCGAACAUAAAAUUUGUGUGACCUUCACAGCCUCUCACAUGACCCGUCCCCUUUGCUGAAUGCGGAGCGACUUGCAGAUCAACAAACCGACGGGCUGACAGACCUAACCUCUGUGCCAUUAGUCCAUCGAGGUAUCACGCUUUGCUUUAAUUCACCAUCUUUCCGAGUGUCACACUUUAUAUUCUUUGGCAUGGGUGGGGUACAUGCGGAUGCAUAAUGUACCUCAAAUUAGCGCCUAUUUGAGUAAGCAUCAAAGCAAGGCGGCUGGGGUUGGAGGAGAGCUUAAGGAACCGCGGGGAAACCAUCGGCAGGAUUAAUGCGGGAGAUUUUUAUUAGAAAUUACUGGCUUAAUGAAGUGGAUAAAAAAGCUGUCAGUGUUUUAUUGCAUCUAAAUUGUGUGAAAGUGGUGUUUAACUGUCUCGCCUGCUCCUCACAUAAUAGGCCAUGGCAGGAGCUGUGAGGCUUAUUUAACUUAACUGGUGAAUAACUUGCAGGGUGAAGCCAUUCACUGUUGUUUUUAUGUGCAGGAAACCAGCCAGAGGUUUUUGUUUCUCUCCUGUUCUGCCUUGAAACCAAUAGAUCAUCUAAAGCUAGAAAUUGUAAAAAGAUGUUAAGAAAUAAAACUGCUUUGUUAUUAUGAAAGGAUUAUUUUUCCCCUUGUGCUCCAGAAAAAAAAAAAUUAAAAUCUGCAUUUUUUAUUCCGUUCUCAGGAAAAAAAAAAAAAAAAAAAA